AUUCCUUAACAAAGCUACCAGAUAACGAUGACAUGGUAAAUUGGACAUGCGAGCUCCAUGGGCCAUCUCAUACAUGAUGUCCAUUACUGUUACAACCUUAUUUCCACAAUGUUUGGGUCUGAAUUAAGUCCAAAACUAUGACCCAUGCGCAAUAACAUCCUUCAUUUAUUUUUCCUUUUUAGUCCUUUUUGAAUAAGCCCAUCCUUGAGUUCUUGGAGGGCCUAUCUCCAGUCACAGUAUACCACUCUCCUGGAAAGGUGAUGAGUUCAGUGGAAGAUACACUUAACCAAACAAGGCCUAUUCUAGUUGUUUUAAACGUACUCCAAGAUUGUUUUGGCAUAUCUCUCUGAUUUUGCUUGUGAUGUUCCCCGUUUUAGCCGAAAGUUCUCUCCCUCUCAAAUGGGUUUCCCCUGCUUCCUUGGGACGAGAGAAGAUUCUGUCCUUCACUUUUCCAACUAUAGAUUUUUCGUUUCCACUCCGGGGGAACUGUAAUAGCAAUGUUUUUGUUGGUUCUUCGAUUGCAGACUGUGUUGGGAUUCAUCUUAAAGACAUGAAUACAAGUUUUAUUCUCUUAUGCUUGUGGUGGUGGUGGUUUUGUGGUUUUUGCGCUUUGCGGAUAGUGGAGGCUCAUAUCCAUUGCUUUUUUCCUCUCUGACCAAACAAAUGGUCGACCCUCAACUGUUGAUUUCUUCUUUGCUGUGAUCACGAGGACGAUUCUACUAUUGAACAUGGGUCUGAUCGGCGUUGCACCCUUCGUUUUGGAUGGCUUUUAAGCUCUUGGUUGUAAGUCGAUAUCCUAUUGUUCUGGCAGGGAGAUCAUAAGUGAUGGUUUUUUUAGACCUAGUUUAAGAUUGGAUGAAAGUGUCCAUACCAAGUUUUUUUCUACAGUAUUUUUUCAUAAAAUUUAUAGUUCUCAUUUAAAAAAAAAAAAAACAAAAACCUUCAUCAUCCUUGUUACUGUUGUGUGUUGAUGAGCAUGAAUAAUUUCUCACAAAAAUAUGAAACAAUAAAACAAAUCAAAACCCUGUUAAUGUUUUGACAAACAAACAUCCAACAUUGACGAAAUCCAAAAGCUUACAUAAUAGAAUCACAUGCUUCAAUGACACACAUACAUGACAACUCCAUUAACAUCGUCCACAUAAAUUAAAUCAUUACUAACAAAUACUUGGAUACAUUAAUUUCUAUCAAAUUAGGUCAUCACUCAAAGCUCAUAUUGGUAGGACCUGCAAAACCAGGAUAAAAAGAAACAUGAUGUUCAUGAUUGUCUAAUUACUAACAAAAAAUACAGAUGAUUAUAUAAAUACAUAUAUUCCCAUUUCCCAUUGGCAGACAUGGCAAACCCAGUAAGUUAAAUAACCUGGGCCACAGUUGGACUGCAAUAGAGGAUGAGACUCCUUUCGUCUGCCAUUUCGUAACAAGAUCAUUGGCAUGUUUCUAAUUUUGACUCCUUCCUCAUUGGAUUCAUCUUUCAAGUUUUUAUUUAUUUAUAUAUUUAUUUUCUUGGAGGGUCCCCUUAUUCAUAUCCUUCGAAAAUGACAG
rnacentral:lncRNA from 1 species